rnacentral:rRNA from 1 species
AUACGGAGGGUGCGAGCGUUACCCGGAUUUACUGGGCGUAAAGGGCGUGUAGGCGGUCCUUCAAGUCCGAUGCUAAAGACUGGGGCUCAACCCCAGGACUGCGUUGGAUACUGUGGGGCUAGACGGUCGGAGGGGGCAGCGGAAUUUCCGGAGUAGCGGUGAAAUGCGCAGAUACCGGAAGGAACGCCCAUAGCGAAGGCAGCUGCCUGGACGACUUGUGACGCUGAGGCGCGAAAGCGUGGGGAGCAAACCGGAUUAGAUACCCGGGUAGUCCACGCCCUAAACUAUGAGUGCUGGGUGUCCGGCUUCUGCUGGGUGCCGUAGCUAACGCGCUAAGCACUCCGCCUGGGAAGUACGCACGCAAGUGUGAA